rnacentral:rRNA from 1 species
AUUGAACGCUGGCGGCGUGCCUAAUACAUGCAAGUAGAACGAGCGGCGGACGGGUGAGUAAUGUCUGGGGAACUGCCCGUUGGAGGGGGAUAACCACUGGAAACGGUAGCUAAUACCCCAUACCAUCAGAUGUGCCCAGAUGGGAUUAGCUAGGUGGUGGGGUAACGGCUCUACUAGGCGACGAUCCCUAUCUGGUCUGAGAGGGUGACCAGACAAACUGGAACUGAGACACGGUCCAGACCCCUACGUGAGGCAGCAGUGGGGAAUAUUGGACAAUGGGCGCAAGCCGUAUGCAGCCAUGCCGCGUGUGUGAAGAAGGCCUGCGGGUGGUAAAGCACUUUCAGCGGAGAGGCGUUACCCGCAGAAUAAGCACCGGCUAACUCCGUGCCAGCAGCCGCGGUAAUUC